UACGAAGGGUGCGAGCGUUGUUCGGAAUGACUGGGCGUAAAGGGUUCGUAGGCGGGAAGAUAAGUUAAGUGUGAAAUCCCUGGGCUCAACCUAGGACGUGCACUUAAAACUGUUUUUCUUGAGUGUUGGAGAGGGCAGUGGAAUUGCUGGUGUAGGAGUGACAUCCGUAGAGAUCAGCAGGAACACCUGAGGCGAAGGCGACUGCCUGGCCAAACACUGACGCUGAGGAACGAAAGCGUGGGGAGCAAACAGG
rnacentral:rRNA from 1 species